rnacentral:rRNA from 1 species
GUCUACGGCCAUACCACCCUAAACGCGCCCGAUCUCGUCUGAUCUCGGAAGCUAAGCAGGGUCGGGCCUGGUUAGUACUUGGAUGGGAGAAAUUAUGCCUGGUAAAGA